rnacentral:rRNA from 1 species
AUUACAGACUUAUUAUUUUUAUUUUUUGUUUAUUUAUUUUUUAAUAAAAGUAAUUUUAUGGUUUAUUGGUCUUAGUAUUUUUUAUAGGAAUGAUUUUUUUAAUUAUAGUUAAUUAGUAAUGUAAAUGGAUUAUGAAAUAACUUUAAAGUUUUAGGAAGUAUUUUUUGUUUGGAGUACCUUUUGUAUCAGGGUUUAUCAAAAUUUUAGUAUUUAUUUUACUUGUCUCGAUUUGGUUUGAUUUAUAAACCCAUGAAGGUUAAUGUUGUAUAAUUAUCUUACAUGGGUUUAUAGGGGUGAUAUGUUAUUCGUUUACCAAUAUAUCUAGUUUCUUAAGAAAAAAUUUAAUUUUUUAAAUCUGACGGUUGAAUUUAAUUUUUUAAUUUUAACUGUUGGUUUAUUUAAUUUCAAGGGGAUAAGCUCUUGAAGUAUUAUUAAUGCUAUAAUUUAUUUUAUUGAAUAUAAAAGUAGGCUUUGAACCAGCUAUCUUUGGAUUACGUUUUAGUUCAUUAUUUUUAUUUUUAAUUUUUUAAGGUUUUUGGCUUUUUUAUUAAGAUUAUGAAUUUAAUUUAUUAAUUUUUGCAAUAAUGAUAGAAUUAGUACAAUUUGAUUGUUUCUUGUGUUUUUUUUGUUAAUUUAUCAUAAGGAACUAGGCAAAUAUGAUUCCCGCCUGUUUAUCAAAAACAUGUCCUUUUGAUAAUAAUUUAAGGUCUGGCCUGCUCACUGAUUUUAAAUUUUAAGAGCCGCGGUAUUUUGACCGUGCAAAGGUAGCAUAAUCAUUAGUUUCUUAAUUAGAGGCUGGAAUGAAGGGUUUGACGAGGAAUCUACUGUCUCUUGAUAAGUUUUGGAAUUUAACUUUUAAGUCAAAAGGCUUAAAUAUUCCCCUAGGACGAGAAGACCCUAUAGAGCUUUAUAUUUAAUUUUUAUACAGUUUUCUGUUGGUAUUUCUAUAUUUAAUGAUAAUAUUUUGUUGGGGUGACAUGAAGAAUAAAUAAACUCUUCAUUAUUAAAUCAUUGUUUUAUGUAUAUUUGAUCCAUAAUUUAUGAUCAUAAGAUUAAGUUACCUUAGGGAUAACAGCGUAAUUGUUUUUGAGAGCUCAUAUCGACAAAGCAGUUUGCGACCUCGAUGUUGGAUUAAGAAUAGUUUUGGAUGCAGUAGUUUAAUUACUAGGUCUGUUCGACCUUUAAAUUCUUACAUGAUCUGAGUCAGACCGGCGUGAGCCAGGUCGGUUUCUAUCCUGGGAAGAAGAGGAGUAGUUCAUAUUAGUACGAAAGGACCAUAUGGGCAAAAGAUUUUUGUUGUUUUGAUUAAUAUUAAUUUAUA